rnacentral:lncRNA from 1 species
CCUGUUAGUCCAGGAGGUUCAACCUCCUGUGGUUGAUUAGAGAAAAGCGAAAAUGGAUAUAUAAAAUGUAUGGAUAUAUAUAUGAAAUAUGUGUGUAUGUAUAUGUGAAUAUAUGUAUAUGUGGUGUGUAUGAAAUUAGUGUGUAUGGAUGUGUGUACGUGUAGCGUAUGCGUGGGCUCGCUUUCCCAAUGACAGUAGGGCCCCACGACUCCCACCAAAUGACACGUGGGGUCCCUCCUAAAAACGUGCAAAAUAAAAAGUAAAAAUAGUUUUAUAAUUAUUUAAUAUUAAUAAAAAAUUAUUUGGAUUAAUUAAUUAGUUAAGCAGUAAUUACUAUUUUGGAAUAAUUAAGAUUUGAUAAUAAUAAAAAUAAUAGAUAAGUAAUUAUUUAGUUAAUUGAAAUGUUUAAAGAUUUGGUAAGUUAAUUAAUUAAAACUGUUAGCUAAGUCUCUUAACUAAAAUAAAUUAAAUAACCUAAACAGUGUAUGACAGCUCGGUUCCACCCCACUAAUUAAUUUGAUUAAACAAUUAUUUAACUCUAUUAAUAAUUGUGCCUAUGACACAUGGGACCCACUGGUCAUAUUUGACCAUUCAACACAUUUGUUGACUGAUGAUGUCAUGCUGACCUCUCGCUGUUGUCAUAAUUGCAUUUAAUUGAAUUAAUUAAAUCUGUUUUUGAUUCCUAAAUAUUGAAUAAAAUUUAAAAA